rnacentral:rRNA from 4 species
CAACUUUCAGCAACGGAUCUCUUGGCUCUCGCAUCGAUGAAGAACGCAGCGAAAUGCGAUAAGUAAUGUGAAUUGCAGAAUUCAGUGAAUCAUCGAAUCUUUGAACGCACCUUGCGCUCUCUGGUAUUCCGGAGAGCAUGCCUGUUUGAGUAUCAUG